UACGGAGGGUGCAAGCGUUGCUCGGAAUCAUUGGGCGUAAAGCGUACGCAGGCUGUUCGUUAAGUCGGGUGUGAAAGCCCAGGGCUCAACCCUGGAAUGGCGCCCGAAACUGGCGGGCUUGAGUGCGGGAGAGGGAAGCGGAAUUCCGGGUGUAGCGGUGGAAUGCGUAGAGAUCCGGAAGAACACCGGUGGCGAAGGCGGCCUGCUGGGCAGUAGCUGACACUGAGGCGCGACAGCGUGGGGAGCAAACAGG
rnacentral:rRNA from 1 species